AAUUAGAACUGCUGGGUUAAUCGUGUUACCGAAACGCAUUUGCGUGUAGCACCAUUUGUUAAAACUAACAAAACUAAUAUAAAAAAUGUGGUGUUUCUUAUCCGUAGUUUCACCGUUACAAAAAAAUGAAACGGAUUGCUCCCGGUAUUUUCUUUUUUU
rnacentral:telomerase_RNA from 1 species